GCCCCAAUCCUGUCGCAAUCGCACUGGUCACAUUGUUAGCAGUUGGGAUAAUAAGUGGCGGUAUAUUCUGUGCAGUUAAAAUAAGAACAUGUGGAGCCUGCAUGCAAAGUGAAGAAGACCAACAUUAUGCUGAUGUGAACUUUCAGAGAUUGGUUGGGGAUAUACCGGUAUCUGGCACCGGAGGAGUCUGUUCACCAGAGGAGUCUGUUUUGUACGCAGAUGUCAGAAUCUCACCUUCUGUUCAGACAGGACUGGAUUCAAUCACUCCUCUCUCAAAGCUGUGACCUUGGCGUGGUUUAGAGGCUUGUGUGUCUCAAUGACCCUGAGAGCUACGCCGGAGGGGGCUUUGGCCCCUGGUAGGUUUGGCCAUUCCGGAUUGGUCUCCGGUGAGGGGCCAGACCAACGACAGCAUUGGUCCUACAUGUUUCACGUUGACAUGGUGCUAUAGGUAUGCAACUAUACCACUCUGACAAUGUUACAUGCUGUGUGUACAGUUGAAGUCGGAAGUUUACAUACACUUACGUUGUAGUCAUUAAAACCCAUUUUUCAACCACUCCACAAAUGUAUUGUUAACAAACUAUAGUUUUGGCAAGUCGGUUUGGACAUCUACUUUGUGCAUGACACAAAUACUUUUUCCAACAAUUGUUUUCAGACAGAUUAUUUCACUUAUAAUUCACUGUAUCACAAUUCCAGUGGGUCAGAAGUUUACAUACACUAAGUUGACUGUGAUUUUAAACAGUUUGGAAAAAUCCUGAAAAUGAUGUCAUUGCUUUAGAGCAGGGGUGUCAAAGUCAAAUGGACGGAGGGCCAAAUAAAAAUUUUAGCUACAAGCCGAGGGCCGGACUGUUCGAAUGUUCAUUGAAAAAUUUUUAAAUGACGCAUAUAGUCUAGUGAACCUAAUUGAACCUACUGAAAACCUAACAAAUAUAUUCCAAUAUGAUCAGAUAAAUAAAGCAAUAUUUUCUUAUGGCUCUGUCAGUAAUCUUUAAUUUUCAACAGACACAAAAGACAAAUUUCCUUUAUAUAAAAAUCCCCAUAACAUGAACAUUAAAUGAAAGAAACCGGUAUUCA